rnacentral:lncRNA from 1 species
CAGCACGCGUCAUUAAAAUAAAUGAAAACCAAUACUUUCCAAUGUUCUAAGAAUCAACUUGGAAAAGGCAAAAGUGAACAAAGGUGGCAAAAGAGUUCACUAAUUCAUGCUUCUUCUUUCACUAAUUCAUGCUUUUUCUUUCACUAAUUCACUAAUUCAAAUUCUCGUUCUAAGUAUUACAGGGCUUGUCUCGGCUCUACUGCCAAUUAUUAUACUUUCACGUUACUAUAACAUAUUUUCAUAUUUUCAUCAUAAUCAAGUUACUUUUUAACCUGUGGGCAAUGGGUUGUCCUCAAUUGUGCUCUUUACAUUUUAAUUCCCUCCUAUUCGAAUUUUCAUAUUUGACUUACCUCACAUUUAGUACCCCUUGAAAUCAAUAUCCCUUG